rnacentral:lncRNA from 1 species
GAGAGACUGAGUGGGUUGGGCGUUCUGUCCAUUGAAAACACCAGGGGAGCUCGGUAAUGUGGUGAGGAGCACGGAGGAGACUUUACCGCCAGUCUCACCUUAUUGGCAACAUCCAGCGCGUCGUAAUCUGGAGCCAAACGGACAUAUGCCUUCUUCUCCCCAUCAGGCCUGGAGGACAGAGGGGAUUGUUAUUAUGUAUGCAGAUCUCAGUGGGAUAAAGAACUCCAUUUCCCAGCUGUAGAAGUGGUUCCUUUGAGGACAUCUACACUGGGACUGGACCAACACCCAGCGAUGGUGGGGGGGGGGUCGUGCUGAGCACAGUGCCAUCAUCAAUAACUCUUCACUGACUAUCUUCAACCAGCUUAGGGCUGUCCCCGAAACAAACAAAAAUAUAUUUAGACCAAUCAAUUUUAAGAUGUAUUUUUUCAUAUAUAUAGACACCCCGUGUUUGGAUAAACGCAGCUAUAUGCGCACUGAGCUUGUCUGAUGCUUUAAGCUCUCAGUUUGAUUAAAUCAGACACCCAUGGAGUCAGGAGUCCUAUGGCCACACGGUGUUAAAACAUUACAGCGAGUGUGUGACCGGCACAUCUCUCCUCCGAGCUGCAGCGAACAGCCACCACAGGAAGUGUUUAUGGUGCUGCUUGGGGUUGAGGGUGCAAAAUAAUUAUAGCUAUUUACUUUCUUGUUUCUGAAAAGUUCUGUUAACGAAAUCCCUCAUUUGUUCAGGAAAAACAUUAUUUUGCCUCAACCCUUCCUCUCUUUACGUUAAACAUGUACGCGACCGAUAGGGCCUGACGUCUAGCCAAUCACAAUCACAUCAAUAAAUUGGUUCUAAACUCUAAACACGGUAAAAUGAAAAUGAUGCGGAGGAUGUGAAAACUCGGAAUGAGGGGGGAAUGUUUACUGGUUGUUCAGGAGGGAAAGAUCUGUGGAAGACGCGUGAUGGAGAUCCAGACAAAGGAGGGUAUAGGAGCACGUGUUACUAAAACAAUAAGUCUGUUCUAACGACAAAAUUAAAUAAAGCCUAUAUUACAGCAAAGACUAAAAACAGUUGCAUGCAUUCGUGAAUUGCUGUUGAUUUAUAGUUUAGGAUAAUUAUUUAAAGCUCCCUUUGUUAUUUAAACUGAACUGCUUGAUUGCAUUUCAAAGCAUGAAUGACUCGUAUGCAGUGUGAUGACAUGAUUGAUACAGUAGCCUAUAUAUAUAUAUACACACACACACACACAGACACACACUGACCAAAAAUAUAACUGCAGCAUGUAAAGUGUUGGUCCCAUGUUUCAUGAAGUGAAAUAAAAGAUCCCAGAAAUGUUCCAAGUUUAUAUCUUUCACAUUUUGUGCACAAAUGUCUUUACAUCCCUGUUAGUGAGCAUUUCUCCUUUACCAAGAUAAUCCAUCCACCUGACAGGUGUGGCAUUUCAACAAGCUGAUUAAACAGCAUGAUCAUUACACAGGUGUACCUUGUGCUGGGGGCAAUAAAAGGCCACUGUAAAAUGUGCAGUUUUCUUACAUCACACAAUGCCACUGAUGUCAAGUUGAGGUGAGUUCAAUUGGCAUGCUGGCUACAGGAAUAACCACCAGAGCUGCUGUCAGAGAAUUGAAUGUUCAUUUCUUAAAAUUUCCAUAAGCCGCAUCCAAAAGGAGCAAAUCAGACCGCUGUCUUGUGCACCAUGGGGGGGGAAUGAUCAAUUUGCGACUACCCUACUAAAGAAAUCUCGGUCGACGAAGAGCCCAUCAAGCAAACAAUCGCCGAAAUGGGGUCAACCCCUAAACCAGCGCCACCUCUAUCCUGUCAGAUGGGUUCAACGUGGAGGGGAACCGCCUCCACUACAGCUACGAAGGUAACGGGGUGACCAGGUCACACAAGCAGGCAGCACAGUACAGUAUGGAGUCUAAUGGGAGAAGUCAGUUUAGCGGUAGUGAUGCCUGGACUACAUUCAGGUUAGUAACGUCAGGGUUAGUCCGGUAACGUUAGUCAGGGCUAGUCCGGUAACGUUAGUCAGGGUUAGUCCGGUAACGUCAGGGUUAGUCCAGUAACGUCAGGGUUAGUCCAGUAACGUCAGGGUUAGUCCAGUAAUGUCAGGGUUAGUCCAGGGUUAGUCCAGUAACGUCAGGGUUAGUCCGGUAACGUUAGUCAGGGUUAGUCCGGUAACGUUAGUCAGGGUUAGUCCAGUAACGUCAGGGUUAGUCCAGUAACGUCAGGGUUAGUCCAGUAACUCCAGGGUUAGUCCAGUAAAGUCAGGGUUAGUCCAGUAAUGUCAGGGUUAGUCCAGUAAUGUCAGGGUUAGUCCAGGGUUAGUCCAGUAACGUCAGGGUUAGUCCAGUAACGUCAGGGUUAGUCCAGUAACGUCAGGGUUAGUCCAGUAACGUCAGGGUUAGUCCAGGGUUAGUCCAGUAACGUCAGGGUUAGUCCAGUAACGUCAGGGUUAGUCCAGUAACGUCAGGGUUAGUCCAGUAACGUCAGGGUUAGUCCAGUAACGUCAGGGUUAGUCCAGUAACGUCAGGGUUAGUCCAGUAACGUCAGGGUUAGUCCAGUAAUGUCAGGGUUAGUCCAGGGUUAGUCCAGUAACGUCAGGGUUAGUCCAGUAAUGUCAGGGUUAGUCCAGUAAUGUCAGGAAACCGUAAAUUCCAGACUAUAAGCCGCAACUUGUUUCCCAGGCUUUGAACCUCGCGGCUUAAACAAUGACGCGGCUAAUAUAUGGAUUUUUCCCGCUUUCACAUUUUUUGUUACAAGCCGUGUUUCGUUAAAGCCUGUGUAAAGUUCAUUUGUUUCAAUGUACCGGUAGGCACCUGCGGCUUAUAGACGUGUGCGGCUUAUUUAUGUUCAAAAUAAUUUAUUUUUUUAAAUUCAGUGGGUGCGGCUUAUAUUCAGGUGCGCUUAAUAGUCCGGAAAUUAUGGUUUAUUAAAUAGUUAUUUACCGGAUGAGUGUGUUGACCUUGGCCACAUCGAUGUCGUACAGCUUCUUGACGGCGUGUUUGAUCUGGUAAGGCUAGUAAUGGACUGAUGAAUGGGUCUAGUAGUUAGGAUUAGAGGUAUACGGGUAGGGUCGUACCUGAUGAAUGGGUCUAGUAGUUAGGAUUAGAGGUAUACGGGUAGGGUCGUACCUGAUGAAUGGGUCUAGUAGUU